ACUCCGAUGGGGUGCGUCCGAGGGAAAUUUCAUGACCAGCUUCAGGAUU
rnacentral:tRNA from 1 species